GCGGUGGUUCAGUAGUUAAGACUCUGGGUUACUGAUCAGAAGGUCAUGGGUUCGAGUCCCAGCUGCCA